GGAGGAGGAGCGAGCGAGUCGUCCUGUCUGCCCCUCUAUGCAGAAGGUGAAGCAGAGGUGAGCAUAUUUUCCUUUUUCCAGCAUUUUCCUUUUCCCACGGCGGCCACGAUAGUUUCCACAAGUGGUUUUUUUAGUGAGCGGAAAAUACACUUUAAAAUCCUGUAACAAAUUUUUCAAAACUCAGCGCAUGGCAAAAUCCUAGCCAGCUGUGACCUUUCUCACUAUCCCCCACAUGCCUCAACCUUUCUUUCUACCUCACUGGAUAUUUUAUUCUGGUAAUCCAUGGUCUAAGGUGGAAUGGAUAAAAGGAAAAGUCUGGUUCAGACUUCAGAAUCAGAAUGCCAACGUAAACAAGAAAAAGUCAGAGAACUUUGAAUAAUCAAGCCCUUUAGCUCAAGUUUAACCCACGCCAAAUGUCAAUGAAGAUGAAGGCCACAAGAUGAACUUGUUCGUGUUGCUGAGAACUACAGUGUCCUUUGUUUCCUUCCCUUAGCCCGAUGUGAAUGGACGGCUGCUGCCCGUAAGUGAAUUCUAUAUUCUAAAAGACGUCGGAAUGCUCCCCAGCCCCAAGAACAAUAAGCCACGGACAGGAAAUGAAAUAUGAAGCAAAGCCAAAACCCUUACUACAGCUUUGUUUUAUUAAGCUCUGUGCUCAUGAGAUACUGUCAGCCACGAUGAAAUGUGACUUUUCUAAACGUUAUCAUUUAAUGACGCAGAGGAUGCAAAAAUAAAACAAGCCAUGCCCAGAUGCUGAUGGCAGAACAAGUGGAAGUGGGCAUUAUAGCUACAUUGACGU
rnacentral:lncRNA from 1 species